UCUCUUCCUAUAAUGUCGGAGCCUUCCACAACAGAGAUUUCCCUUGGUACUAGUGGACAGGAGAAACAUAAGUCAGGAACUUCAUCUCUUCCAGUAUCAUUGGAUCCGUCCACAAUAACUCAACAAACUCAGGCCCAAACAAAUCUCGCCAGCAAGGAUAUUCUUCCUCAACAAACUCAGGCCACAACAAACAUCGCCAACAAGGAUAUUCUGUCUC
rnacentral:lncRNA from 1 species